rnacentral:rRNA from 1 species
CCUACGGGGGGCAGCAGUGGGGAAUAUUGGACAAUGGGGGCAACCCUGAUCCAGCCAUGCCGCGUGUGUGAAGAAGGCCCUCGGGUUGUAAAGCACUUUCAGUGAGGAAGAACGCCUGGUGGUUAAUACCCAUCAGGAAAGACAUCACUCACAGAAGAAGCACCGGCUAACUCCGUGCCAGCAGCCGCGGUAAUACGGAGGGUGCGAGCGUUAAUCGGAAUUACUGGGCGUAAAGCGCGCGUAGGUGGCUUGAUAAGCCGGUUGUGAAAGCCCCGGGCUCAACCUGGGAACGGCAUCCGGAACUGUCAAGCUAGAGUGCAGGAGAGGAAGGUGGAAUUCCCGGUGUAGCGGUGAAAUGCGUAGAGAUCGGGAGGAAUACCAGUGGCGAAGGCGGCCUUCUGGACUGACACUGACACUGAGGUGCGAAAGCGUGGGUAACAAACAGGAUUAGAUACCCCAGUAGUC